rnacentral:rRNA from 1 species
UGGCGACGGGUGAGUAACGCGUGGAAAACCUGCCGUAUACUGGGGGAUAACACUUAGAAAUAGGUGCUAAUACCGCAUAAGCGCACAGCUUCGCAUGAAGCGGUGUGAAAAACUCUGGUGGUAUACGAUGGUUCCGCGUCUGAUUAGCUAGUUGGUGGGGUAAUGGCCUACCAAGGCAACGAUCAGUAGCCGGCCUGAGAGGGUGAACGGCCACAUUGGGACUGAGACGCGGCCCAAACUCCUACGGAAGGCAGCAG